rnacentral:rRNA from 1 species
UACGGGGGGGGCAAGCGUUGUUCGGAAUUACUGGGCGGAAAGGGCUCGUAGGCGGCCAACUAAGUCGGAUGUGAAAUCCCCAGGCUUAACCUGGGAACUGCAUCCGAUACUGGAUGGCUUGAAUUCGGGAGAGGGAUGCAGAAUUCCAGGUGUAGCGGUGAAAUGCGUAGAUAUCUGGAGGAAUACCGGUGGCGAAGGCGGCAUCCUGGACCGACAUUGACGCUGAGUGAGCGAAAGCUAGGGGAGCAAACGGG